rnacentral:misc_RNA from 1 species
ACAAAGCAUCACCUCUGUCUUCUCUCAUCUCCUUUCUGUAUUCUCUUUCAUUGCCUUCACGUCUGUUGCAAUUUCUCCACUUCUUGAGCUUCCGUUUUUUACAAUUAUUGAUCCGUCAAAUAUGUGAGAUUUGCACAACUUGUUGCUCAGG